rnacentral:rRNA from 1 species
CAGCAGCCACGGUAAUACGAAGGGUGCAAGCGUUACUCGGAAUUACUGGGCGUAAAGCGUGCGUAGGUGGUGGUUUAAGUCCGUUGUGAAAGCCCUGGGCUCAACCUGGGAAUUGCAGUGGAUACUGGGUCACUAGAGUGUGGUAGAGGAUAGUGGAAUUUCCGGUGUAGCAGUGAAAUGCGUAGAGAUCGGAAGGAACAUCUGUGGCGAAGGCGACUAUCUGGGCCAACACUGACACUGAGGCACGAAAGCGUGGGGAGCAAAUAGGAUUAGAUACCCCUGUAGUCCCUGUCUCUUAUAC